rnacentral:rRNA from 1 species
UACGGGGGGGGCAAGCGUUGUUCGGAAUUACUGGGCGUAAAGGGUUCGUAGGUGGCCCGCUAAGUCAGACGUGAAAUCCCUCAGCUCAACUGGGGAACUGCGUCUGAGACUGGCAGGCUUGAGUGCAGGAGAGGAACGCGGAAUUCCAGGUGUAGCGGUGAAAUGCGUAGAUAUCUGGAGGAACACCGGUGGCGAAGGCGGCGUUCUGGACUGUUACUGACACUGAGGAACGAAAGCCAGGGGAGCAAACGGGAUUAGAAACCCCCGUAGUCC